AAUCAUGCAUUAGUAUUGACUGAUGGUGGUGAAGUUUUUAUCCUUGGUGGUGAUCGCCAUGGAGUCCUUAGUGAUCUUGAAAAAAUAAACCUGCAGAAGCAUUUAGAUUCAACUCAUGCUGUUUUGAAUAGUGUUUCUGGUCUCGAUGGGACAAAAGUUGUGGAGAUUGCAGCUGGAGCAGAGCAUUCUGCUUUAUUGACAGUGGAUGGAGCAAUAAAGACAUGGGGAUGGGGUGAACAUGGUCAACUUGGUUUGGGGAACACAAGUGACCAAAUCAACCCUCAAACAGUGAGUCUAGGCCACCAAGCUCAGAACCAAGAAGACGC
rnacentral:misc_RNA from 1 species